AUUGAACGCUGGCGGCAUGCCUUACACAUGCAAGUCGAACGGCAGCACGGGUGCUUGCACCUGGUGGCGAGUGGCGAACGGGUGAGUAAUACAUCGGCACAUGUCCUGUAGUGGGGGAUAGCCCGGCGAAAGCCGGAUUAAUACCGCAUACGCUCUACGGCUGACAGCGGGGGACCUUCGUCCCUCGCCCUUUCGGGGUCGCCGAUGGCUGAUUAGCUAGUUGGUGGGGUAAAGGCCUACCAAGGCGACGAUCCGUAGCUGGUCUGAGAGGACGACCAGCCACACUGGGACUGAGACACGGCCCAGACUCCUACGGGAGGCAGCAGUGGGGAAUUUUGGACAAUGGGCGAAAGCCUGAUCCAGCAAUGCCGCGUGUGUGAAGAAGGCCUUCGGGUUGUAAAGCACUUUUGUCCGGAAAGAAAUCCUUGGGCCUAAUACGGUCGGGGGAUGACGGUACCGGAAGAAUAAGCACCGGCUAACUACGUG
rnacentral:rRNA from 1 species